rnacentral:misc_RNA from 1 species
CUUCUCACCCUCCAUAACAGGGCAUCCACCGUGGAGGCUCAUAGGAUCAGGUACAGCAUUUGGAUGGAGACUGAAAAAAAGAAGUGCAUCUCCUUUUCGUGGUUUAACAGCAAUACCCCUCUUUGCACACUCGGACAAACUGUCGUCAGCUGCCAUUGACCUACGCCGAGUUGAUACCUCUGCUUCGGGGAAAACAGUUUCACCACCUUUCUCUACAUCACUGAGAUACAUGAGUACAGUGGCUAAACGGUGUCCACCACGAACAAUAUUAACCUUGUCGGUGAAGUAAUCAUAGUGUGGCUCAUAUCUCUGUCCUUCCUCAUAUCUUAGAACUUGUAUGUCUUCUCCAUUCUCUUUAGGUAGAAAAGUCCAAGUCGCUAUCUUCUCCUCUAUCCCUGUGACAAUAGGA